UCACUAUUAAAUCUGUCGGCUUUGAGCAUGAAGGACAGUAUAUCUGCACUGUGAGCAACACAGUAGGGACUGUCACCAAGGAGUUUAACAUUGAUGUACAAGUUCUACAGUCAACUCCAUCCCAUAUAUAAUAUCUGGGACGAUACUGGGAGCUCUGGUCCUUGUCGGACUGUAAGUGGGAUGCUACUGCAAACACAACUGAAUGGGACACAGCAAACUCAGUAAAAUUAUUGUUACUGACAGCUGAAGAAAUGACUGGUUAAAAUACUUGUUAAUAAAUGGUUAACAUGUAUUUUUGAUACUGAUUCUGAUGAGCAGCUUGUAACUGUCUAUCUUCUGUAAGUAAACUUGUUGUGUCACGAUCCUGGGUCUUUUGACCCAGCGUUUUGAGUUUUAGUUUAUGUUCAUGUUUAUGGUUUAUGUUUAAGCCUUUUAGGUUUUCUAAGUUCAUUUUUUAUCAUGCCUAGGUUGUUAUAGUUCUUUGUUAUUAGAUUUCCCUUGUGACUUCCUACCCCUGUUCAGUCUCCCUAGCCCUUCAUGUGUUUCAUGUCUGUGUCUUAUGUUGUCAAGUUCAGGUUAUCAUGUCUGCGUCUUAUGUUUCCUGUCUUAUUUUGAAGAGACCUUGUGUUUCUAUGGUCAAUGUGUUUAGUUUUACUCUUCCUCUGUGAUGUCGUUAUGGUCAUGUGUGUCAGCUGUUUCCCCAUGUGUUCCCACUUCCCUCAUUAUCCUCCUGUGUGUAUUUAGUCUGUGUGCUUUCAGUUUUUCUUUGUCGGAUCGUCUGCGUUGUUCCCAUGCCAUGUCCUGCGUUCAGGUUUUUCAUAUAAUCCCCAUCACGUUGCCAUAUUUAGAGUUUGUUUGUUUUUUUCUAUUUGCCAGGGUUUUUCAUGGUUCAUGUUUCCUUUCUAGUUUACCCAGUUUAGGUUUAGGUUAUUGCUUAGUUUGCAUUGUUUUCGCCCUUUUAUUUUGUACUGUUCUGUCUGCUUUAAUAAACGGCUCAUCAUCAGUUAAGUUUGAGUUUUAGAACGUCUGCACCUGGGUCCACUCCUCACACUCCACGCAGUUUGCCUCGGCAGACUGUGACAUGUUGUUUGGAAAAAGCACAUUUCCAAGGGAAGGUCUCCCCAUUUUUCAAUCUCUUUGUAUAAAUGUGGUGUUCAAACUGGGCCCACAGGGUCUUCGAGGGCCUCUGCUAAAUAAAUGCCCCCUCUGUUCUUCACCUGUUGGCUGAUUCUCUCUUUAAUCAUUCUCUGCUUGAUAAUGCAGGCUAUUUGUUCUAUACAGUCAGACUUCAUUGAAACGGUAAGACUGAUCUUAUUCAUUCUUGGGGGAUCCUGUUCAAAUUCCUGUCACUGCAGGGUUCUCCUUCCUCUAUGAUGGGUCAUCAAAUACUUUUUCUUACUGUGGACCCAUUAUAAUUUUAUUUUUUUUAAACAAUGGUACAGGUGUUUGUGCCUGCAAACAUAAACCAGAGGCUCCUUCAUUUUUCUAGUGUUACAUCUGGAGGCGAUUCUGCUGGCACCAGUUAACAAAGUCCUCGGUCAGUCCUCUGGACUCCCUGUCGUCUCCAUCAGCAAUGAGACCAACAACUGCUGAGUCAUCAGCGAGCUUGUGCAGGAAGCAGAUAGCAGCGUUGUAGCAGAAGUCUGUGGUCUAUAUGGUGAAAGCAAAUGGAACCAGAACUGGUCCCUGUGGACUGCCUGAAACAACCCUAUUAGACACACAGUUCUGGAUCUUUACAUACUUUGGUAAAGUAAUCCAGGAUCCAUGUGGUGAGGUGAUCAUCUUGUUAAAAGGCUUCAAGCACUCACAGCACUUUUUGCGGCGCUGACAAAUGUGCUGGGCGAAGGAUGUAAAUCAAAUCACAUGUUACCUGCUUACACUUGAUGAUAAGAAGGAUGUACAGGGAUACCUGCAACCAGAUCCAAGGUUAGUCGUAGUUGCAGAAUGCUAUAGAUACAUCUACAGAUAAGAGACAGAGGGGUCAGUGAACAGGGACCUUUAAAAAUGCAAAAUUUUAGGUUUUAUCUUUUGCCAGAAAAAGACUAUUUUACUUUUCAGUGUUAAUGUAUUUUAAGUGAAAUUAAAAGCUAAUUAUAGCUUCUGUACAGCUUCCUACUAAUGGCAAGAAAGUGAAACUGGAAUUUGUUAGAAACAGAGAAUUAUCCUUUUAAGUACAUCUAUUUAUCUCGUUUCUUGCUAAAAAAGUUCAUUUCUCUGUCUAAAGGAAGUUUCAUCUCCACUCUCUUUAUGGCUGCUCACUGUUUAUACCAAUUCUAUUGUCUGAUGGGCUUUU